UACGUAGGGGCCUAGCGUUGUCCGGAUUUAUUGGGCGUAAAGAGCUCGUAGGCGGUUCGACAAGUCGGGUGUGAAAACUCCGGGCUCAACCCGGAGACGCCACCCGAUACUGUCGUGACUGGAGUCCGGUAGGGGAGUGGGGAAUUCCUGGUGUAGCGGUGAAAUGCGCAGAUAUCAGGAGGAACACCGGUGGCGAAGGCGCCACUCUGGGCCGGUACUGACGCUGAGGAGCGAAAGCGUGGGUAGCAAACAGG
rnacentral:rRNA from 1 species